ACUGGUAAAAAUGAGAGAAAUCCAAAAAUAGAGUAUUUCACCAUCGAUGUUUUCACCAAUGGAGAGCCUCUAAUUCCUUCAGUGACUGUAAAAAUUCCAAAGACGGCUCUGAAGUCGAUGGACAACGUCUGCAGCGUGGUGGGAUCCAUGAUGUGCUCUCAUGCUGGAGUGAAGAGGCUUUACACACUUGAUGGACAGCUUGUGAAAGAUCCACAAGACUUGAAGAACGAUGGAAAAUAUGUUGCUGUUACCAGGGGAAGGUUUAAACCUGCCGACUACUUCCAGCCAGUCCGAGUGCCCCUGAAGAAAAAGUGAAGAAACUCCACCUGCUGUUCAGGCGACACGUCACAAAAAACAAGUGGU